rnacentral:misc_RNA from 1 species
CGUGAGAUAACUCCAGAAAGCUCGUCUUUAAUUGAUUCGACAAAGGAAGAGAAACCUUUAAUUGAUUCGACCUCGAUAAAUCAGUCGACCUCGAUAAAUCAGAGCUGAAGACCAUUGGCCGAUUGAAAUUCAUUUAUAAAGAAACUAAGUAGCUGUGAGGCCGAAGGCGAAGGCGGUGUUACCUCAUUGUUGUCGCUUCUGCUCUUUGUCUUCCUCUCAUUCUUCUCGGCCUUGAGGUUGAUGCUGGCGGCUGGUUCCUUUUCUUCUUAAA